rnacentral:rRNA from 1 species
AUUGAACGCUGGCGGCAUGCUUUACACAUGCCAGUCGAACGGUAACAGGCCUUCGGGUGCUGACGAGUGGCGCACGGGUGAGUAAUGCAUCGGAACGUGCCCAGAGGUGGGGGAUAACGCAGCGAAAGCUGUGCUAAUACCGCAUGUGAUCUGAGGAUGAAAGCGGGGGACCAGGCAGCAAUGUUGGCCUCGCGCCUUUGGAGCGGCCGAUGUCAGAUUAGGUAGUUGGUGGGGUAAAGGCCUACCAAGCCGACGAUCUGUAGCUGGUCUGAGAGGACGACCAGCCACACUGGGACUGAGACACGGCCCAGACUCCUACGGGAGGCAGCAGUGGGGAAUUUUGGACAAUGGGCGCAAGCCUGAUCCAGCAAUGCCGCGUGCGGGAAGAAGGCCUUCGGGUUGUAAACCGCUUUUGUACGGAACGAAAAGGCUCUGGCUAAUACCUGGGGCUGAUGACGGUACCGUAAGAAUAAGCACCGGCUAACUACGUG